UGCAUUGGAAGGGCAGAAAUCUUAACCACUGGACUGCCAGGGAAGUCCCAAGCUUAUGUUUUUUUAAUGUAGCAUUUUCAAAAGUCUAAUUCAUAGGUGCUGCUAUUUCAUAAUUUUUUUCCACUAACUAAAACCACUCUAACCAGAGAUAUUUACAUUUUUAUUCAUGUUCUUAUCACUGUUUUAUACAAAUGUUUACUUAACCUAAACUUGAAUGCAAAUCUCUCUGUGUACAACAGAAGUGCUCAAAGUCAAGGCAACAAUUGGCUCUAUAAAUAUUUUAUUACUAAUCAUUCCUCUUGCAACUAAAAUUUAUGAAACUCCAAUACAGAAUCCUCCCCUGGGGCAGGAGGGGAUACUGAGAAAAAUCUCAUUUUUUAUUUUUCAACAAGGCAAAUUAGUGACAUUCAAACAAAUCACAUUUUAAUUCUAAUUGUUAUUAAAAACUCCCUUGGAGAGAACUGGUGAGGUCUACAUUAUUUUAAAAUAAAUUAAAAAGUAUCAUCUAAAUAUAUCUUCAGCCUUUACUCUUUGAGCUAAAUUUUUAAUUAUGACUUAAUCAAUGGUGAAUUUAACAUAAGAGUGGGGCCAGAGUCAUAGGGUCUUUAAUUUGACUGUCAAAAACAUUGAGCAAAUAAGAUUUCAAGGCAAUAUUAACUGUCCUAAGAACACACGAUGACUUAAAUGACUUUAGAGGUGUCUGUGUUAUUGCAACUUGUUAUGCUCAUGACUCUGGCUGUUGCAUGGGGAUGGAACUGAACAAAGAUGAGAACAGAAAGGAGAAGGUGAUUUAGCGAUGAUGGAAGAAAACUGUUAAGACCAGAAAGUGAAAGAAACCAGAUGCCAUGUCACCACGAAAGCUGAAAACCAGACAAAGGAGGAGUAAACAAAUCUAAAACAAGAAAAAAGAAGCAGCAGGAAACUUGGGACCACUGGAUUGUGAGAUGGCAUUUUAAUGAAAUGAUAGGUUUCAUAAAUGGAGAUUUAUUCCAGUGUUUCCCCAAAUGAAUUUCAUCAAGAAACCUUUUCAUCCCACAAUAACUGUUAGCAUCCUGCCACAGGAGUGAUCCACAGCAGUUACUAGGGAAGCGACUUGUGUAACGUACUUCUCCACCAGUGACACAUCUCACAGACUGUCAUAUGGUCACAUGUUCUCAGUUUGAAACUUUCAAUAACUAGGAGUACUUUAUAAGCUUCCCUAUUAAAAUAUGCA